AGAUAGAACUACUAAGCCAUUAGGUGGAUGACUUAGCUCAAGUCACAGAGGAAGGGCGUGGCAAGCUACGAAAUGCAUCGGCGAGGCGCAUGCAGCCUGAGAACCGGUGAUUCCUGAAUGGGACUUCCUAGAUAAGUUUUCUUAUCUGGCCAGAGAUGGUCUAAAACACAGGGAACUAAAACAUUAUAGUACCUGUAGGAAAAGAAAUCAAUAGAGAUGCUGCUAGUAUCAGCGAGAGAGCGCAGCAAAGGUCAAACUGAAUCUCUCUUAGAAAUAAGAGCGAGAUGUGGUGUCAUAGGACCUGCUUUUAGUCUUAAUUGCAAUAAGCAAAGUUAACUGGAACGUUAUGCUAUAGAGGGUGAUAGCCCCGUAGUUUAUUGCAAAAAGAUGUGCAGGUAUCCUGAGUACUGUUUCUUAAAUUUGAAGCAGGAAAUUGGGAGUUAUCAACUCCUAAACCUAAAUAUGUCUUGAGUCUGAUAGCGAAUAAUAGUACAGUGAUGGAACGUUGAAAAGAACUCUCAGCAGAGAGUGAAAAGAUCCUGAAACCUAAUGGUGAUAUUAUGAUACAGCUAACGUUGUAUCGUACGUUUCGAAUAACGGGCCAGGGAGUUAAUUCAAGUGGCGAGGAUAGGCUUUGAAAAGGCUGAUCCAAAGAGAAAUCAAGUUCUUGCAGCUUGCGAGAAGACUGGUAUGAAAGUGCCAUGAGUCACUUGGGUUUGACAAGAAACUGCUCGAUCUAAUCCUGGGCAAGAUGAAGCGAGGGUAAUACCUCGUGGAGGUCUGAAGAUGUGCUACGUGCAUGUGCUAUUCUGACCUGGGAUUAGGGGUGAAAAGCCAAUCGAGAGCAGUGAUAGCUUGUUCCUGCUGAAAUAUGCCGCAGUAUAGUCUUGAGCGAGAUCGUUGUAGUUGUAGAGCUACGGAUUUGAAGGUAAGGGAGCGAAAGUUCUCGCCUUCUUGUUCAACUCCGAAUGCUACAACAUUGUAGACCUCAGGAAACAGGGGCGCGCGGUAAGCGUGUGUCCUAAGAGGGGAACAACCCAGAUUAUGGUUAAGGUCCCAAAAUGCUGGUUAAGUGUUAAAGGUUAAAAGGCGUACAUAACCACAGACAGGUGGGAGGUAGGCUCAGAAGCAGCCACCCUUUAAAGAAAGCGUAAGUUAACGACCGUUAAAUUUUAGAAGAUAUAAAGACCAUAUUGUUAGAUUUCUUUGAGAGAUCAAGUGGUAAAGUUUGUUGUUAUGAAAAUAAAAACGGGAUAUAUCCGCGGUUUGUUUUAAGAAUAGCUAAUCGGGAUAGCAUAAAAAAGUUUUACAAUACUUUUGUGUUGCUUAAUCCCGAAAAGAAAGAAAAAUUGAAUAUUCUUUUGCGGUCGUUAACCGCUAGAUAGCUCACCAUUCAAGGUUAUGCGCCCUGAAAAUGGACGGGGCUAAACCAGUUACCGAUACCAUAAACGAGCCAAAAGCUUUGUGGUAAGCAGGCGUCCUGUUUGGGCAGAAGUUAUAUCGUGAGAUAUGAUGGACCAAAUUGGAAUGAGAAUCCUGGCGGUAGUAGGAUCUAUAUAGAGUGAGAAUCUCUAAUACCGAAAGGCUAAGGGUUUCUUAGCAAUGUAAAUCAUCUAAGAGUUAGUUGGCCCUAACAAGAGUCAUAACUUGACUGCUUGGAACAGGAGAAAUGGUUAAUAUUCCAUUACUGCUUAAUUACGUUCGGCAACGAAAGCUUAGCUGCUGACAUUUUGGGCUAGGUUAACAAUUCUCGUCUGAAUUGUCAAUUGGCAUAAAUCUGGGGAGUAUUGUAAUAAUGAGAACCAGAUUAAAGCCAAGAUGAGCUGGCAUUGUCAGUUUAACUGAUGCCUGGAAUCCAUGAAAAGGCAGCUGGGAAGGAUAUUAAGCAACCAUACCAAGAACCAGCACUGGUGGCCCAGGUUAGAAGCCUAAGGUAUGAGAGGUAUACCCUAGUUGAAGGAAUUCGGCAAUUUAGCCUCGUGACUUUGGCAUAAGAGGUCCCUGCGAUUGUGUUUUUUAAAUGCAAUUACAGGGUGCAAUAACAAAGCGGGUCCGACUGUUUAACAAAAACACAACCAACUGCUAGCCUGUAAAGGUUUGUAUAGUUGGUGACGUCUGCCCAGUGCCAGUACUUCAAAGCACAGUUCAAUGUGCCUAAGAGCUGGUAAACGGCGGGAAUAACUAUAAUUCUCUUAAGGUAGCGUAAUACCUUGUCGUUUGAUUGACGACUUGCAUGAAUGGCGUAACGAGAUCCGCACUGUCUUCAACUAGGUCCUCCCGAACACACCCAUCUGGUGCAAAGGCCAGAGGUUUCCAGUGGGAAGCGAAGACCCCGUAGAUGGUACAAGCAAAAACUUGAUAAACAAUGUAGUACUGUAUAUCGGGGUAUGAAAAUAACCAAAAAUCUAUCCUAUCUUACUGGAGUAUAUAUCGGAGAUGGAAAUAUAUACUCCAAAGGUAGAACACACAAAAUUACUUACAGCGGUAAUCUAAUCAAUGAAAAAGAUUUUUAUUACCAGGUGUUAAAACCGCUUAUUAAAUCUGUGUACGGGUUAGAAGCAAAUUAUUACAAAAGAAAAAGUGAUAAUAGUGUUUUACUGGUGAUCAAUUCAAAGGAGCUAAUAGAAUUUAAAAACAAAACUUUAGGAUUAUCUCCAGGAAAGAAAACUAACAUCAAAAUCCCGAAACAGAUUAUAAGCAAUAGAAAUCUUUUGUUGAGGUGUUUAAGAGGCAUUGGCGAUACAGAUUUUUCAUUAUCCUUUAAAAAGAAUAAAAAAGGUCUGUAUACUGAGCCACGAUUAGAGUUGUAUAGCCAAUCUGAAUUAUUAAUCAAAGACAUUCAACAAUCUUUGCUGAGUUUUGGCUUUACAUGCGCUAUUGAAAAGAAAAAUAAAAAAUAUCAUGGUUAUAUGCUAAGAAUGUAUGGAAAAAAGAAUCUAUACACAUGGUUAAAAUUGAUAGGAUUUUCUAACCCUUAUAGAAAAGUAAAGGUUAGAAUAUGGGAAAAAUUUGGUUAUUUCAUACCUAAAAAAACUUAUGACGAAUAUGUCAAAUUACUAAAUUGAUUUUGCUUGUUCCAACGGAAAACUUUACUGUAGCUUGCUGCUGUGAUGUGAAGCUUGUUGUUAAGCGUAGGUAGGAGUCGCUAAAGCUUAGACGCUAGUUUAAGUGUAGACGCCAAUGAGACACUACCCUUCAAGCUUUACAUUGCUUACUUUAGAAAUAAAGGACCACAACAGGCAGACAGUUUGGCUGGGGCGGCACCCCGCUGAAAAGAUAUCAGUGGGGCCCAAAGGUCAGCUCAAGAGGUUUAGAAAUCCUCUGUGGAGUGCAAGAGCAAAAGCUGGCUUGACUGGAUCUAUAACUAUAUUAGAUUCAGGAACGAAAGUUUGGUCUAGCGAACUACUAUGUCCUUAUUGAUAGGGGCUAGUCAUGACAGAAAAGCUAUCUCGGGCAUAAUUGAGUCGUAGCGCCUAAGCGCUCACAGCGACGGCGCUGCUUGCUACCUCGAUGUCGGCUCUUCCUAUCCUAGGCGUGCAGAAGCGCCUAAGGGUGAAGGUGUUCACUUAUUAAAAGGAGAUAAGUCGUCAUAUUAUAUAAAAAAAAUAGUACACCACCUGAACACUAAGUCACGAUGAUGGUGCAUUUUAAUUAUCGAUUUACUCCACUAAUAGAGGGAUCGUGAGCUGGGUUAAGAACGUUAAUAAUAUAGCGUUGCAUAAUCGUAAGGUUAUGAAUAAUAAAAUUGGCUCAUAUCGGUGAAACCUUAACUUUUUUAAACUGUGAAAGUUAUGGCAAUACCGAGGGAAGGUAGGAAUUAUGGAUUCAACAACGCUUGCGUAUAUAGCUGGUUUUCUUGACGGCGAUGGAAGCAUUUUUUUUCAGAUAGUGCCAAGGAAAGAUUACAAAGAUAAAUUCCAGAUAAGAAGCAGCAUUGCAUUUUAUCAAAAAACGGAGUUUAUUGAAAUCUUAAAUUGGCUCAGAAGCUGCUUCAAUUGCGGUUACAUAAGAAUUAGAAAAACAGGAGUCAGCGAUUAUACAAUUGUUGAAUCAAAAGAAGUCAAAAGAAUGCUUUUGCUUCUGCAACCAUAUGUUAAGCUGAAGAAAAAGCAAAUUGAACUUGGUUUGAAUAUACUGCAGAAACUUGAAAAUAAAAAAUCAAGAAAAGAUUUUUUAGAAAUCUGCAAAUUGGUCGACAAAUUUAAAGACCUUAAUUAUUCAAAGAAAAGGACAAUAACAUAUGAUGUUGUAAGUGGUUCCUUACCCCCGUAGAGACUUAAGCAUAAAGCUUGGAGUUUUGCAUUUUUGCAAAGCUAAUACGCCAGUCUCCUUUUUUGCAAGAAAAGGAUGAAGGUAUAGUCCACGCCAUUUCGAAAACAUAAGAAUGGAAUAACGUGUGCGAGACAGUUUGUAUGAUAUCUACUGGAAGUGUUUACUAUCUGAGUGGAAGAACCAUCUAGUACGAGAGGAACGAUGGCUCGGCGCCUCUAGUUUACCAGUUGUCUGACAAGGCAGGCUGGGCAGCCACGCGCCAAGGGAUAAGUUCUGAAAGCAUCUAAGAACGAAGCCCCCCGCGAAAAAAGAUAUAGGACACGGCUUACAACAGCCGUUUGAUGGGAUUGGGGUGUAAGCACAAAGGCAACGAUGUGUUCAGCCUGCAAUUUCCAACAGUCCGAUUUUAUUAUCUAA
rnacentral:rRNA from 1 species